rnacentral:rRNA from 1 species
AUUGAACGCUGGCGGCAGGCUUAACACAUGCAAGUCGAGCGGAGAUGAGGUGCUUGCACCUUAUCUUAGCGGCGGACGGGUGAGUAAUGCUUAGGAAUCUGCCUAUUAGUGGGGGACAACAUUCCGAAAGGAAUGCUAAUACCGCAUACGUCCUACGGGAGAAAGCAGGGGAUCUUCGGACCUUGCGCUAAUAGAUGAGCCUAAGUCGGAUUAGCUAGUUGGUGGGGUAAAGGCCUACCAAGGCGACGAUCUGUAGCGGGUCUGAGAGGAUGAUCCGCCACGCUGGGACUGAGACACGGCCCAGAAUCCUACGGGAGGCAGCAGUGGGGAAUAUUGGACAAUGGGAGGAGCCCUGAUCCAGCCAUGCCGCGUGUGUGAAGAAGGCCUUAUGGUUGUAAAGCACUUUAAGCGAGGAGGAGGCUACUGAGACUAAUACUCUUGGAUAGUGGACGUUACUCGCAGAAUAAGCACCGGCUAACUCUGUGCCAGCAGCCGCCGUAACAC